rnacentral:rRNA from 1 species
UAUGGAGGGCGCGAGCGUUAAUCGGAAUUACUGGGCGUAAAGCGCGCGUAGGCUGUUGUGUAAGUUGGGGGUGAAAUCCCACGGCUCAACCGUGGAACAGCCCUUGAUACUGCGCGACUUGAAUCCGGGAGAGGGUGGCGGAAUUCCAGGUGUAGGAGUGAAAUCCGUAGAUAUCUGGAGGAACAUCAGUGGCGAAGGCGGCCACCUGGACCGGUAUUGACGCUGAGGCGCGAAAGCGUGGGGAGCAAACAGG